ACGGAAGGCAGCAGCUAAGAAUAUUCCGCAAUGGACGAAAGUCUGACGGAGCGACGCCGCGUGGAUGAUGAAGGUCGGAAGAUUGUAAAAUCCUUUUAUAACUGAGAAAUAAGCGUUAUCAGAGAAAGGUAAUGUGGUGACUGUAGGUUAUGAAUAAGCAACGGCUAAUUACGUGCCAGCAGCCGCGGUAACACGUAAGUUGCGAGCGUUGUUCGGAAUUAUUGGGCGUAAAGGGCAUGUAGGCGGUUUUGCAAGCUUGGUGUGAAAUCCCGGAGCUUAACUCCGGAAUUGCGUUGAGAACUGCAUAACUAGAGUCACUGAGGGGCAAUCAGAAUUCCAGGUGUAGGGGUGAAAUCUGUAGAUAUCUGGAAGAAUACCAAUGGCGAAGGCAGGUUACCAGCAGAUGACUGACGCUGAGGUGCGAAGGUGCGGGGAGCAAACAGGAUUAGAUACCCUGGUA
rnacentral:rRNA from 1 species